CACGUAGGGGGCAAGCGUUGUCCGGAUUUAUUGGGCGUAAAGAGCUCGUAGGCGGUUCGGUAAGUUGGGUGUGAAACCUCCAGGCUCAACCUGGAGACGCCACCCGAUACUGCUGUGACUAGAGUCCGGUAGGGGAGCGUGGAAUUCCUGGUGUAGCGGUGAAAUGCGCAGAUAUCAGGAGGAACACCAGCGGCGAAGGCGGCGCUCUGGGCCGGAACUGACGCUGAGGAGCGAAAGCGUGGGCAGCAAACAGG
rnacentral:rRNA from 1 species